UGGGGAAUAUUUCGCAAUGGACGAAAGUCUGACGGAGCAACGCCGCGUGAGUGAUGAAGGAUUUCGGUUCGUAAAGCUCUGUUGCAGGGGAAAAAGAAAGUGAUUGUACUCUGCGAGAAAGGGACGGCCAACUUCGUGCCAGCAGCCGCGGUAAUACGAAGGUCCCUAGCGUUGUUCGGAAUCAUUGGGCGUAAAGCGCACGUAGGUGGUUUCGUAAGUCAGGUGUGAAAGCCCCGAGCUCAACUUGGGAAGUGCACUUGAAACUGCGAAACUUGAGUACGGAAGAGGUAAGUGGAAUUCCUGGUGUAGUGGUGAAAUACGUAGAUAUCAGGAGGAACAUCGGUGGCGAAGGCGGCUUACUGGUCCAGUACUGACACUGAGGUGCGAAAGCAUGGGGAUC
rnacentral:rRNA from 1 species